GACGAACGCUGGCGGCGCGCCUAACACAUGCAAGUCGAACGAGCGAGAGAGAGCUUGCUUUCUCGAGCGAGUGGCGAACGGGUGAGUAACGCGUGAGGAACCUGCCUCAAAGAGGGGGACAACAGUUGGAAACGACUGCUAAUACCGCAUAAGCCCACGGGUCGGCAUCGACCAGAGGGAAAAGGAGCAAUCCGCUUUGAGAUGGCCUCGCGUCCGAUUAGCUAGUUGGUGAGGUAACGGCCCACCAAGGCAACGAUCGGUAGCCGGACUGAGAGGUUGAACGGCAACAUUGGGACUGAGACAAGGCCCAGACUCCUACGGGAGGCAGCAGUGGGGAAUAUUGCACAAUGGGGGAAACCCUGAUGCAGCGACGCCGCGUGGAGGAAGAAGGUCUUCGGAUUGUAAACUCCUGUUGUUGGGGAAGAUAAUGACGGUACCCAACAAGGAAGUGACGGCUAACUACGU
rnacentral:rRNA from 1 species